ACGGAGGAUCCGAGCGUUAUCCGGAUUUACUGGGUUUAAAGGGUGCGUAGGCGGGCCCCUCAGUCAGCGGUGAAAGUCUGCGGCUCAACCGUAGGAUUGCCGUUGAUACUGGGGGUCUUGGAUACUGUUGAGGCGGGCGGAAUACGUGGUGUAGCGGUGAAAUGCUUAGAUAUGACGCAGAACGCCGAUUGCGAAGGCAGCGCACCAAGCAGAAAUCGACGCUGAGGCACGAAAGCGUGGGGAUCGAACAG
rnacentral:rRNA from 1 species